CGAGCUGUCAUCAAGGCUGUCAUUUUUUUUCACCCGCGCGCGUGUUUGAUCCUGUUUGUGUGGCGCAGUUGAAAUCAAAAAUUCUCAAGUCGAAUCGCGUGUGCUCGUGAAGGAACAACAUCCGGCGUUCGGAACAAAUACACCGGGUGACCGAACCGGAACGGCUCUGGGAUGGCGGAAUUUUCGCAUAUUUGGGGACUUCUUCUACCAGGCCCGGCGCCUGCUGCGGACACUUCCGGCCGGAUUUGUUCAGGAUGGUCGUUUCGUCUGGAGGCGAAAAUCGUUAGGGGCCUAUUCCACUGAGGAUUGUGCUUCAUAAAUACGCGAGAGUUCAUCCCAAGUACUAAGCAGUAGUUCCGGCACCGGCUACAAACAUUUCGAACAACGUCAGAAAGUUCGGAUUGAAGCAGAAUAUU
rnacentral:lncRNA from 1 species